ensembl:misc_RNA Metazoa_SRP Metazoan signal recognition particle RNA
GCCAGGCGUGGUGGCUCACGCCUGUAAUCCCAGCACUUUGGGAGGCCGAGGUGGGUGGAUCACCUGAGGUCAGGAGUUCAAGACCAGCCUGGCCAACAUGGUGAAACCCCGUCUCUA